rnacentral:rRNA from 1 species
AAUCUGCCCUACACAAGAGGACAACAGUUGGAAACGACUGCUAAUACUCUAUACUCCUGCUUAACACAAGUUGAGUAGGGAAAGUUUUUCGGUGUAGGAUGAGACUAUAUAGUAUCAGCUAGUUGGUAAGGUAAUGGCUUACCAAGGCUAUGACGCUUAACUGGUCUGAGAGGAUGAUCAGUCACACUGGAACUGAGACACGGUCCAGACUCCUACGGGAGGCAGCAGUAGGGAAUAUUGCGCAAUGGGGGAAACCCUGACGCAGCAACGCCGCGUGGAGGAUGACACUUUUCGGAGCGUAAACUCCUUUUCUUAGGGAAGAAUUCUGACGGUACCUAAGGAAUAAGCACCGGCUAACUCCGUGCCAGCAGCCGCGGUAAUACGGAGGGUGCAAGCGUUACUCGGAAUCACUGGGCGUAAAGGGCGCGUAGGCGGAUUAUCAAGUCUCUUGUGAAAUCUAAUGGCUUAACCAUUAAAC